UAGUGGUGCACUAGGUAGGGUGCAAAAGCGGUUAUGUUGUAGCCUAGAUAAUGCACUUGUCUAGGGAAUACAGAGGGAUUUGAUAUUCAAGGACUCCGCCAAACCCCUGAGAUCAGGCACUUCUUAUUGGCUAGCUGUCUUCCGGUUCUUCUCUCUGAUUGGUCAGAAAUCGGUGCACGAGUCUCACCGAGCAGAAGUCCGCCUCUUUUCUGUUAGAGGUGUUACACUGGUAUGUUGUGUAAUUGAGGGAAGGAAAAAAAAGGUCGAGUGUAAUUAAGUGUGAGCGCUACAGGAACUCUCAGCAGGGCGUGACUGCACGAUGAUCCGGAUACAGCGCAAGUGUGACCAGGACCAAGAGCUUAUUGAAGAUAAAUCAGGGGAGAAAUCAACGCCACCUUCAAAAGAUGUCAAAAUAAAUAUUAAGUGUUACAUUUGAAUAUUGCAACGCCCCAGAUAAAAAAUGGGUCCCCAUUCAUUCUCUAUCUGCUGUUGCAAAGUUCAAUGAGUUCAACAACCUCCCCUUCUCUUCACCCUCACCCUCACCCUCCCCUCCUCUUCACCCUCUCUUUACCCUCUCCUCACCCUCUCCUUACCCUCCUCCACUUUUUGGGUUUAUACUAAGAUUAUGUAAGAAUCCCCUUUCGAAACGAGGUGCUGGGAGUUCUUUUUAACUAAGAGCCAGGCAGAACCUCCUUCUUCCUCUUCUGCCCUUUCACAUUCUAAUACUUCUGUUCUAAAGAUGGGGAAGUUAAAGGAAACACCUUUUACAUGUUAAAUAAUAUACCUGCUCAUCGCUGGGAUUAUUCAAAUCCAAAUCACUAUAAUAUAAUAAGAAAAAUAGGUAAAGUUGUAGAAUAAAACCGGUGCAGGUUAUCGCCAAUAUGUUACUACAUAACCUCAAAUAGGACAUGAACUGUAACUAUUUCUGACUGUAUACAACUGCCAGGGAAAAAUAAUAUAUAGGUAUAAUUAAAAUAACUGGUAAGUACCUAGUGCCAUUUAUCAUAAUGUACUUGCCAAGCCUUAUUCAUAGCUGACAAUUUACUAUCCACACAUGAGAAAAUCCAGCACAGCAUUUUGUGCCGAAUCACACGUCAACCAUGAAAUUUUAUUGCAUGAAUCAAACUGGCAGUACGGCUGAUACAUGAGGUAUACUACAUAAAAUGUACUAUAUGCUGACCUAGCACGUGUACUCCUAUAUUAUAUUCAAAAGAGGGUUUUUAGUUUAGUGACCUUCAGUAAAGUAAAGUCCCCAACUCCAGGCCUCCAAUUGUCCACUUCAGCAGCGUAGAAGUGCUGAGUGACCUGCACGUGCUGUGCAUCACAACUCCUUUACCCUUGUGGAGAAUUGAUUAUUCACUAGAAUUGAUUUCUGUAGUAAACUAGAAAUCGGUAAAUGAGAAUGUAAUCUUUUUAUUAGAAAUAAUUUUAGUUCAGCUAAACAAAAAUCUGGAAAUACAUUUAAACAGAUCCCUCAUGAACAACCCUGAGGGGACAGUGGCAAGGAAAACCUCCUGAGAUGAAAUAAGAAAGAAACUGGAAUCAGAUUCAAAACACCCAUCCUUUUCUAUGUGCAAUUAUUUUUACAUGCACAGUAAAAAGCAUUCAUAACACACACACACACAUAUAUAUUGAUUGAUAGAUAGAUAGAUAGAUAGAUAGAUAGAUAGAUAGAUAGAUAGAUAGAUAGAUAGAUCAAGCAGUUCCAGUAAAAGUUCAAAGUUCUGUAUGGAUUUAUACAGGUUAAUUACAUUGUUUUUCAUCUGUUUAUGAAUUUUCUUUUGCAGCCUGUGUUGCAUUCUUUUUUUUUUAAGA